rnacentral:other from 1 species
GGUGCCCUGCUGUACUUGCGAUGUGGCACUAGCGUUCUGAGCCAACACCCACUUAUAGGGUCCCAAUCUUGCGCCAGUGACGCGUUAGGCCCCGGCCAAGGCGGAUCUGUCGAGGCGGGACCCGACCUGCGAAGGCAGGUUCAGAACUUUGCCACACGCGGUAUGGUGGGGUGUUU